AUUGAACGCUGGCGGCAGGCCUAACACAUGCAAGUCGAGCGGCAGCGGGAAAGCAGCUUGCUACUUUUGCCGGCGAGCGGCGGACGGGUGAGUAAUGCCUGGGAAAUCGCCCAGUCGAGGGGGAUAACAGUUGGAAACGACUGCUAAUACCGCAUACGCCCUACGGGGGAAAGCAGGGGACCUUCGGGCCUUGCGUGAUUGGAUAUGCCCAGGUGGGAUUAGCUAGUUGGUGAGGUAAUGGCUCACCAAGGCGACGAUCCCUAGCUGGUCUGAGAGGAUGAUCAGCCACACUGGAACUGAGACACGGUCCAGACUCCUACGGGAGGCAGCAGUGGGGAAUAUUGCACAAUGGGGGAAACCCUGAUGCAGCCAUGCCGCGUGUGUGAAGAAGGCCUUCGGGUUGUAAAGCACUUUCAGCGAGGAGGAAAGGUUGAUGCCUAAUACGUAUCAACUGUGACGUUACUCGCAGAAGAAGCACCGGCUAACUCCGUGCCAGCCGCCGCCGUAAAAC
rnacentral:rRNA from 1 species